GCAUCUAAGCGGGAAACUCGUUCCAAGAUGAGAUCUGCCGGGGCCUUGAGCCCCCUAAAGAGUCGUUCAAGACCAGGACGUUGAUAGGCUGGGUGUGGAAGCGCAGCAAUGCGUUAAGCUAACCAGUACUAAUUGCUCGUGAGGCUUGACCCU
rnacentral:rRNA from 1 species